GCAGGCAGAGACACCUGCACCCUGUCAAAGAGGUCCCUAGCCACCUGAGGGGAAAUCCAGUCUGCAGCCCUAUCUCAACCUGUCUUCCAGUCACCUGGCCAGUAAGACGUCAGCGAUGGUGAGAGUGAUGGCGUGUCUGGAGUGGGGCCUUGACCUGCUGUCCAGAUGGGUUUAGAGAGUCUCUGGCUGGAAGAAGGUGGCGGGCUGUCUUGCUGCUCUGAUGUGCCUGCCAGGAAAGGGAGAGCCGGGUGUGUCCGUGUGUGGCCCGAGUGACUUGGCACCAACUUGUCCCUCAGUCUGAAGACCUCACAGGCCCACUGGGGAUAUCACAUUCCUCUUCUGCUCCAGCUCUGCAUAACAAGGACCAUGCAAAUUUCUUCACUGUGAUCUCGUGACACUGAAAUCAGCUCAGCCAAGUCCGUGGAAAAGCAAUUGGUCACAUCCACCAUUUUGCUUCAUGCAGACCAACCGCCCAGUGCACCCAUCUAUUUUGGUAGAAAUUCACAUUGUUUGAUAAUUGAGAUAUAUGUUUUUUCAGGCAGAGUGUAACUGGCAUUUUAUCAGGGGCUUUUAGCUCAUCAGGAUGGUGUUUGCAGAACCUGACAGAGUGAUAAAUUUUGCUUGUUUUAAUCCUUUCCUUUUUUCCCACCAGAGGUUAAUUGUUUGACAUUCUUUGUUAAACUAACACUUUUGAUGGGUUAAGAAUCAUUAAAGCCACUUAAAUAAACAGACUGUUCAGGUAAGAACAGAAAAACUAGCAUAGCCACAAGCUAUUAACUGGCUGGGUUGGGGCCUGGCCUAUUAGGUGAUUGACAUUCACAGUGACACGGAUUCACUGGGAGAUUUUUUAAAAACCCAUUAACUGCUUAAAAGGAAGUGUUGACUUUCUCUUUCAGGUAGAGGAAGAAAAUUCCCUGAAAUUUUAUCUCACUAAAUUAUUACAAUAAGCCCAAUUAAGUAAUGUCAUAUUGUCCUUCAAAGAUACCACCUACUUUCAUUGCUAUUAUUUUUAAUUUAGUGUUUCACAUAAGGAAGAAACAUCUGUCUAUCUUGUCUCAUUGUUGUUCAUAGGUUUUUAGAAUCGAUAUUACUCAAGCUUCAUAAAAUGAUUCAGAGGAAUAUUUGUUUCUAUGGUCUAGAAGGGGUGUGAUGUCAUAGGAGUUAUGUAUCUCUUUUAGGAAUACUUUUACGGUUAGAAAGUUGAAUAAUGAGAGUGGUAAGGAUAGUAGCAAUAUGAAGGAUAAUUUGGAAUAGGGAGAUACUUACUAAAUGUUGUGUUCUGCCGAAGCUGAAUCUGAGGCAGAAUGUGCAGUGCAAGGUAGUAUCAGGGAUUCACACGCUGUCAGAGGAAGGAGGAGGAAGCUGAAUCUGAGGCAGAAUGUGCAGUGCAAGGUAGUAUCAGGGAUUCACACCUUGUCAGAGGAAGGAGGAGGAAGCUGAAUCUGAGGCAGAAUGUGCAGUGCAAGGUAGUAUCAGGGAUUCACACGCUGUCAGAGGAAGGAGGAGGAAGCUGAAUCUGAGGCAGAAUGUGCAGGGCAAGGUAGUAUCAGGGAUUCACACGCUGUCAGAGGAAGGAGGAGGAAGCUGUCAGGGGUAAAAUGAACUGCAGUGCAGAUGCGCUGGAAGCCUGGCCUCAUUCUUCUAGUGAGUCUUGAGGUUAGUUAUUAUAAAUCCUCAAGCUUUCUUCUUUUCUAAAAUAUUUUGUCCAUGCUUCAGCAUUUGACAUUUCACAUGAAUUUUCAAAUAAGCCAUUGACUCAUACAAAAACGUUCAGACAAAACCAGUCUGAUUUCGAUUGCUUUAAAGCAGUGGAGUAGUCAGGGAGAGGAGAAACCUUAACCCUGCUGAGUUUUCCGAGUGAAAACAUGUCCCGUCUCUUUUCCUUUGUUUGUCUUCUUUAAUUUCUCUCAGCAGUAUUCUGUAAUUUUCAUCGUACAACUCUUAAAAAUAUUUCAUUAUAUUCAUCCCAAGGCAUACUGUAUUUUUGAUGUCAUGAUUGUUACCAUUUUUUAAAUAUUAGUUUCUAGUUGUUUGUUGCUAGUAUAUAUAGAAAUAUAGGCUGGGUGCAGUGGCUCAUGCCUAUAAUUCCAGCACUUUGAGAGGCCAAGGCAGGAGGAUCACUUGAGCCCAGGAGUUCGAUACCAGCCUGGGCAACAUAGUGAGACCUUGUCUCUAUGGGG